AGUACACUUUUUAGCCACAGAGGUCUGUGGCUAAAAAGUGUAUCAAAUUUCAUUAUACUUUUAGCCACGGAAGUCUGUGGCUAAAAAGUAUACCAGAUUUCAGUACAUUUUUUAGCCACAGAGGUCUGUGGCUAAAAAGUGUAUC
rnacentral:miRNA from 1 species